GUCCUCAGCCGAGAGGCGGGGCGCGGUGCAGCGAGGCGCCCCAGCUCGGGGGCCAGCUGAGUACCGCCGCCGUUCUCCUCCGGCCGCUUCCCCCCAACCCCGUCCCACCCGGGCCCACCCCUCCUCCCUGCGGGCGAAGGCAGAACAAUAACCCCCGAGCGCGCCUGGGAAGCGGAGACUCCCGGGCCGAGGGCCGGUGCGAGGGGAGUUCCGAGGGGACAGUCCCCGCGCAGCGGGGGGUCCGAGCGGGACCGCGGCCGCUGGCUGGCCACCCGGGCACGCGAGGCCACGUGGACGACGAUUUAGCUCUUAGCAGCCUGCAAAACAGCCUCUGAAGUUACACAGAGACUUCAGGGAGAGAAGCACUGCGUGUUGCCCUCUAUGAAGAACAGGGUCUGCAUGGGUGACAAGCUGGUGACCUAUGAAGAAUAAGCCCAUAAAACACCGUUCAGCAAGGGCACCACUCCCAGGUGGCUGUGCAGGCAGUGCUGAAGACCAAAGUCACUGAUGAGGCCAAGAUCAUGCAAGAUUUCCGCCUUUGGUAAAUGAAGCAGAUAAAGUCUACCUUGCAAAGUUGUUGUAAGAAUCAGGUAUGAGGAACGGGAUGGCGUCGCGGGAAUGCUUGGACAUAGUAUGAGCCCAACAAAUGAGGGCCAUCAGGUGGUGGAGUGGGGUCAGCCCUCCUGCCCGCCAUCCCGGUGACAAUGUUGAUGGCAGUGAAGAUGGAACCCAUGAUGAAGCCCAAGACCACUUGGCAGCCUUCCCUGCUGCAGGUUUUGAGGUCACGGUUACUUCUCCAGGCUGUAAGACCUUGCCAAGACCUACUCAGGCAUUUCAGGCAGGCUGUUUCCUUCCUCAUCUAGCAGUAUCGAUGAUGUUAGACAUCAAACAUCAGAAGAAUGCAUCUGUGUCAUACUUUGAAACUGAUUAGGACUGGCUCCAAAAAUAAUGUCAAAAGAAUUCCCCAGUUCCCAGAUUAUAGCCACUGUUGUGUGCUGUUGUAAUACGACAAUUCAAGCGAGAGGGGGGCUGCCAUCUUGCCGACAGAGUGGACUCUCUUGACUGAUGGAGGGAAAAUGGGGUCUCCACCACCGGUGAACUUCAAAGCAAGCCAAGCAUCAAUCAACCCCAGGAAAGCCUGUAUUUUGACGCUGCCUGACUUUUCCUCUGAAAGUUUUCCUUUUCCUUUCCUCUCUUUUGCGUUUCAAAAUUUCCCCUCCAGGGAUUACUUCCGUUUGGACCCUCCCUGUUAUUCCACUUCCUGUUUGCCUACUUUUUGUUCUGCUGUGUUUGCUUCUCUCCUCGCCUGGUGCACUUGGCCUUCAGUGAGUUCCUCUAUUUCAUCUCCUGCCCACCCCACAGCCCUUCCGAGGAGGAUCUUAAGUUCCUAAGCUCCUCUCCCCUCCUGGGUUGUAGCUCUUUGGGCCUUUAUGAUACAGCCGAUGCCACCUUGCUUCAAGAAGUUUCUAGCUCCCCUUUUCCACUAAAUCCAUUGAGUUUAGAGGAAGCCUUGGUUCCUUCUAGUUAACAGCUAAGGGCUUGGAGAGACUCUGGGACCCGGAAAAGGGCAUGCUUAGUGCCUCCUCGCUCCCUUACGGCUCCGCAAGUGUUAACUUGCAAACAGUGCUCAGGAAUACGAAGGAGAGACUGAAAUACCAGGGAAAAGAGAGUGUUCUGCGUGCUGCCCUCUCCUUGAGAACAGCGAUGAGGCCAAGAAUGCUCUUGGAUAACCAAGAUAUCCGGCUGUGGAUUGCCCAGCGGCCUCAGGCCACAGGCUUGGUAGGGGGACCCUGCCACUCCUUCUCCUGUUGCGUACCCCAACCCCACCGACCCCCAGUGCCCAACUGCUCCAACCCCUUGGCAAACACGGCACACUCGACAGAGUUGGGCCUUGGCCUGCUGCUUCUCAGUUGCCAACCAGCCAAGAGAACACCUGCUUUUCAUUCUCUUCAGAGGAAGUGUGAAUUUUUCCCGUGGGGCUGUAACCUGUGCUUGUGCUAUAACCCUUCUCCCAGUUUGCUUUUUUGACAUCUUCUAACCUAACUCCAGAAGGUGUCCAAGUGAGUCCCGGCAUCUGCUUCUCACAGCCUGGGAUCACCCUCGAGGUUUUUGCAGCCAGUCGGGGAGGGUCGGUGGCAGACGACGUCGCCGCUAUGGUUUUGUUUUCCUUUGUCUACGUUUGGCUGGCAUAAACACUUCUGAAAAAUGGUCUGCAGCUAAUGCCUUUUCGUUUGGCUCCCUUUAACGAGGGGUUUAUAAAACGACUCUUACUAUGCAGAACACAUGUUCUAAGUAUACAGUUACUUGACGGAUUGAAACAGUGCUGAGAGAGGCAGAACACAUGUUUCAAAAUAUUCCUGAAAUGCAUAAUUACCCCGCGGACCAAUCAGGGACAUAAUAUACAUUUUAAUACACCAUUUAAUUGCUAUUUACCUAGGAGACAGGAACCUUUCUGGUCUCUUGGGCUAAACUACAGAUUUUUAGAAACUGUCUAAACACAUAUUUACUUGAUUCAUUUUGGUCUCUUGGGCGAAGAAUCCUUUUCCAAAGAAGUGGCUGCACAUGCAGAACAAGAGAAUUAAGUGCUCUGAGGUGGCGAGAAGGCAAAGGCUUUAUUCCUCAGGAUUCAGGGAUAACAAUCCUAAAGCGUAGGCUGAGCCCAAGAGCCCUAAAAACAAUCCAUCCCAGUAAUUCCACAUCCCUGAAACUCCCCCUCUCCCAACACCUGCAUAUUUUUUUCAUCUCCACCCUUUCUGAUAAAAAUGUGUACAUUGCAUCACAGUGGCUUCUUUGAGAAAGAACAUUGAGAUACAGCUGGAGAGCUCCACCUCUCGAACCCAAUCCAAGUCCAAGAGCUCCUUAUCUUUCUCCCCCCAAAACCUGCUUCUCCUCACAUGUUCCCCCUCUCAGCAAAUGGCACCAAAUAUCCGCCCCCGGCACUCCUGUCAGAAACCAAGUGUCAUCUUUUACUCUUUCCUCCCUCCCUCUUCUUACAUUCAUCCAGUCAGAAACUAUUUGGCCAGGGGCGGCUCAGUUGGUCGGGCGACUGCCUUCGGCUCGGGUCAUGAUCCUGGAGUCCCGGGAUCGAGUCCCGCAUCGGGCUCCCUGCUCGGCGGGGAGUCUGCUUCUCCCUCUGACCCUCCCCCCUCUCAUGUGCU